rnacentral:rRNA from 1 species
UAGCGCGAAUCUUCGGCAAUGGGGGGAACCCUGACCGAGCAACGCCGCGUGAGUGAAGAAGGUUUUCGGAUCGUAAAGCUCUGUUAUUAAGGAAGAACGAGUGUGAGAAUGGAAAGUUCAUACUGUGACGGUACUUAACCAGAAAGGGACGGCUAACUACGUGCCAGCAGCCGCGGUAAUACGUAGGUCCCGAGCGUUGUCCGGAUUUAUUGGGCGUAAAGCGAGCGCAGGCGGUUAGAUAAGUCUGAAGUUAAAGGCAGUGGCUCAACCAUUGUAGGCUUUGGAAACUGCUUAACUUGAGUGCAGAAGGGGAGAGUGGAAUUCCAUGUGUAGCGGUGAAAUGCGUAGAUAUAUGGAGGAACACCGGUGGCGAAAGCGGCUCUCUGGUCUGUAACUGACGCUGAGGCUCGAAAGCGUGGGGAGCGAACAGGAUUAGAUACCCUGGUAGUCCACGCCGUAAACGAUGAGUGCUAGGUGUUAGGUCCUUUCCGGGACUUAGUGCCGCAGCUAACGCAUUAAGCACUCCGCCUGGGGAGUACGACCGCAAGGUUG